rnacentral:rRNA from 1 species
CAGCCGCCGCGGGAACACGUAGGGUGCAAGCGUUAAUCGGAAUUACUGGGCGUAAAGCGUGCGCAGGCGGUUAUAUAAGACAGAUGUGAAAUCCCCGGGCUCAACCUGGGAACUGCAUUUGUGACUGUAUAGCUAGAGUACGGCAGAGGGGGAUGGAAUUCCGCGUGUAGCAGUGAAAUGCGUAGAUAUGCGGAGGAACACCGAUGGCGAAGGCAAUCCCCUGGGCCUGUACUGACGCUCAUGCACGAAAGCGUGGGGAGCAAACAGGAUUAGAUACCCCAGUAGUCCCUGUCUCUUAUAC